AACCAUUCUCACCUGCGGCUAGACCUGCGGAGGGAUCAUUACUGAGUGAGGGCCUUCGGGCUCGACCUCCAACCCUUUGUGAACACAACUUGUUGCUUCGGGGGCGACCCUGCCGUUUCGACGGCGAGCGCCCCCGGAGGCCUUCAAACACUGCAUCUUUGCGUCGGAGUUUAAGUAAAUUAAACAAAACUUUUAACAACGGAUCU
rnacentral:misc_RNA from 1 species